rnacentral:rRNA from 1 species
GAACGUUGGUGAGAGUGGAAAGCUCAUCAAGUGACGGUAACUACCCAGAAAGGGACGGCUAACUACGUGCCAGCAGCCGCGGUAAUACGUAGGUCCCGAGCGUUGUCCGGAUUUAUUGGGCGUAAAGCGAGCGCAGGUGGUUUAUUAAGUCUGGUGUAAAAGGCAGUGGCUCAACCAUUGUAUGCAUUGGAAACUGGUAGACUUGAGUGCAGGAG